CUGACGCAAAGAAAUCUGUUACCUGUGAAGAUCUCUUCUCUAUACUUCUUGUGGCCUAUCUCGAGUGAAAAACAAUGAAGCAUUACAUGCCUAUUGUCCGUGAGAAGCCAACAAUCGAGCUUGUAGAGCUCACUUCAGACAUGAAAUUGUUUGAAGCUUACAACACGAUUCGUCUAGCACGUUCAAUGAAGAGACAUGCAGGUGCUAGAGCAAAGAGAGCUUCAAAAGCUGAGAAUGAAGAGAAGAAUUGACAAGUCUAUUCUUCUCAAUGUAGAAGAAGAAACUUUCAUCUUUAUCAUCGUUUAGAGUUACUUUUAUGUAUCUGACUUUUUUUCUUUAUCUUGGAUUUUGCUGCUCUACCUAUUCAGUCUUUAUGGAAACGACCAUCUCUUUUCUU